rfam:Myotis lucifugus cont2.31489, whole genome shotgun sequence.
GGCGGUUCUCGGGUGACGCACCCCAGAAUCAGGUGUCCUCCUCUCUGGUUCCGGGGUGAGUCACCCGAGAACCACU